GGCAAGGUGGCGGAGUGGUUAACGCGUCAGCCUCGAAUAGGUAUGAGAAGGGAGUGCUUUGCACCCCUAUCUUAUAACCUCCUUAGCUGAUUCCUUAGGGAGCGCCGGUUCGAAUCCGGUCCUUGUCG